rnacentral:rRNA from 1 species
UACGUAGGGGGCAAGCGUUGUCCGGAAUCAUUGGGCGUAAAGAGCGUGUAGGCGGCCCGAUAAGUCCGCCGUGAAAGUCCAGGGCUCAACCCUGGAAUGCCGGUGGAAACUGUCGGGCUAGAGUCCGGAAGAGGCGAGUGGAAUUCCCGGUGUAGCGGUGAAAUGCGCAGAUAUCGGGAGGAACACCAAUGGCGAAAGCAGCUCGCUGGGACGGUACUGACGCUGAGACGCGAAAGCGUGGGGAACAAACA